AUUGAACGCUGGCGGCAUGCUUUACACAUGCAAGUCGAACGGCAGCGCGGGCUUCGGCUUGGCGGCGAGUGGCGAACGGGUGAGUAAUGCAUCGGAACGUGAGGAGUAGUGGGGGAUAGCCCGGCGAAAGCCGGAUUAAUACCGCAUACGACCUGAGGGUGAAAGCGGGGGACCGAAAGGCCUCGCGCUAUUGGAGCGGCCGAUGUCGGAUUAGCUAGUUGGUGGGGUAAAGGCUUACCAAGGCGACGAUCCGUAGCUGGUCUGAGAGGACGACCAGCCACACUGGGACUGAGACACGGCCCAGACUCCUACGGGAGGCAGCAGUGGGGAAUUUUGGACAAUGGGGGCAACCCUGAUCCAGCCAUGCCGCGUGCGGGAAGAAGGCCUUCGGGUUGUAAACCGCUUUUGUUCGGGAAGAAAUCCUCUGGGCUAAUACCCCGGGGGGAUGACGGUACCGGAAGAAUAAGCACCGGCUAACUACGUG
rnacentral:rRNA from 1 species